CUCUCCAUUAAUUCCUCCCUGGCAUGUUCAGGAUCUUGGCCUCACUCCAGGCUCAGGCUUUUUCUCUGUCUUCAGCUUUCUUUUUGUUUUCAAAUUAUUUUUUAUCUAGAUCAAUUUUCCAUAAUGUUUUCAACUUAUCUAGCAUGAAUUGAAAUCUGGUCCCCAACUAUAAAUCUAUGUGAUGACAAUCUUCAAUAUAUGUCCAGACUCUAUGUGAAUAUGGAGGAUGAUAGAGAAAGGGAAGGCAGUACUGCUAGUCUAUAGGGCUAAAUGUAGAAUGGGCUGAGGAGGGGAGCUCAUGACAAUUUUCAUCUGCUGCUGCUUUUUUGGCCAUCUUAACUUCAUCGGUGAAGCUUAUUCCAGAUUCAAAGGUCAACUGCUUCCAACUAAACCUUUGAAUUCAUCAUUCUUCUCAUAGACAUUUUGCACUGUAUUAAAGAGAUCCUCAACAUUUUCCGCUUCCCAAGUCAGCAUCACUUUCAGAGUUUUGUCUCCAGUGUGAGAACAGACAAAUACACCAGUCCCUGGACUGAUACCUGAAAAAAGAGGAGAUAAGGCGUCCAGGAUAUUAAGAAUUCAAGGAGAUUGGAACCACCUGGACCAUCUGGAUAUCCCACAGAAGACCACACUGACCCAUUAUUACACUGAUGAUAUCAUGCUGAUUGGGCAAGAGAAGCAAGAGGAAGGAAGGCCCACAGAAGUUGCUGUGUGAACAUGUGUGGAGAUGUGAAUCCAUAUAGCUCAAAGGGUGGACUGUGACACCUAUGAGAGCUACAAAUGAAGACUUAGGAGUGUUCAUCAAAUAAGGAGUUGCAAGAAGAACACAGAAACCAGAUUUAUUGUAUACAUGAAAAAAUAAAAAGUACUACUCAA
rnacentral:lncRNA from 1 species